rnacentral:tRNA from 1 species
GAGGGUAUAGCUCAAGUGGUAGAGCGCAUGUUUAGCAUGCACGAGGUCCUGGGUUCAAUCCCCAGUACCUCCA